AUGGGCAUCUCAAUAGCAACAGUGUUCCUUGACGAUGGUGCCUCGUUUAAUCGAAGUGUUGUCCCUGUAGUGAUAUCAGCUCGUCCGUCGUCUCCUCCGUCCCUGCUCCUGCUGGCUCCUGCUGCUCCUCUGCUCUCUGAGGGAGAUGUCAGUGUGGUGUGUGUGGCUCAGGGCUUUUACCCUGACAGUGUCACCGUGUCCUGGUCUGAGGACAGCAGCGGUGUGACGGGGGACGAGGUGCAGACGGCUCCGUAUCAGCGUCAGGCCGAUGGCACCUUCUCCCAGACCAGUGUCCUGAAGCUCAGUAAGCAGCGCUGGAGCUCUGGGAGAACCUACACGUGCAGCCUGAGUCACCCGGCGCUUUCCACACCGCUGAGCCAGAGCACCAGCCUCAACCAGUGUGUGUAGACCGAUCACACACAGCUGUGUUACAUACAGAGAGAAAUAUAUAUAAUGCAUCUCUGUGAACACAACUUGUCUUUAAUAAUGAGUGUGUUGUCCAUUUAAACAAGUUCUUCUGUUAUUGUGAAAAGAGUUUCGUGGAGCUCUUCUUUGUUGCUUUCUCUAGUAAAUAAAGCAUUUAAAUGUUUCAAAUUAAAAA